CCUACGGGUGACAGCAGUGGGGAAUAUUGCACAAUGGGGGAAACCCUGAUGCAGCGACGCCGCGUGAGUGAAGAAGUAUCUCGGUACGUAAAGCUCUAUCAGCAGGGAAGAAAAUGACGGUACCUGACUAAGAAGCCGCGGCUAACUACGUGCCCGCAGCCGCGGUAAUACGUAGGGGGCAAGCGUUAUCCGGAUUGACUGGGUGUAAAGGGAGCGUAGACGGCAGCACAAGUCUGGAGUGAAAUCCCGGGGCUUAACCCCGGAACUGCUUUGGAAACUGGGCGGCUGGAGUGCAGGAGGGGUAAGCGGAAUGCCUAGUGUAGCGGUGAAAUGCGUAGAUAUUAGGAGGAACACCGGUGGCGAAGGCGGCUUACUGGACUGUAACUGACGUUGAGGCUCGAAAGCGUGGGUAUCAAACAGGAUUAGAUACCCCUGUAGUC
rnacentral:rRNA from 1 species